GUCCCCGUCGAUUAGUGGUUAGAUCAUCACGUUGUGGCUCGAGUAGCAGCAAUUCGUGAAGACGCAGGCUCGACUCCUGCCAGGGACA